GUGGUCCGUUUUGAGAGAAUGACAUGAUCUUGUUUAACACGUCCUAUAAAUUCACAUAAUUUGUACAUGAUUACGGGAAGAAACGUUAAACUCAAAAUGUUAGUACAUGAAGGUUUGACUAAUAGUCAAUUACCUCUCUUUUAAACCGAAAUCAAUGUUACCGGUAUUCAAUAGGGACAAUUUCGAAAAGAAACAACAUACCCUCCCCCUUCCCUCUUAACAAAAUAGCACACUUGACUGUUCUUUAAAUAUCUCGUAUGAUUUAACGUUAUGAUAGCAAGAUAGCAAUGGAAAGAUAAGUAACCUCUCCGGGCUGCACAACGAUGAUAUGUGGAGUAAAACCAA
rnacentral:lncRNA from 1 species